ACGGGAGGCAGCAGUGGGGGAUAUUGCACAAUGGGGGAAACCCUGAUGCAGCGACGCCGCGUGAGUGAUGAAGUAUUUCGGUAUGUAAAGCUCUAUCAGCAGGAAAGAUAAUGACGGUACCUGACUAAGAAGCACCGGCUAAAUACGUGCCAGCAGCCGCGGUAAUACGUAAGGUGCAAGCGUUGUUCGGAAUCAUUGGGCGUAAAGGGCUUGUAGGCGGCGUGUCAAGCGGAGCGUGAAAUCACGGGGCUCAACCCCGUGGCUGCGCUGCGAACUGGCAUGCUGGAGUCGCUGAGGGGGAACCGGAAUUCCUGGUGUAGGGGUGGAAUCUGUAGAUAUCAGGAAGAACACCGAUGGCGAAGGCAGGUUUCCAGCAGACGACUGACGCUGAGGAGCGAAGGUGCGGGGAGCAAACAGGAUUAGAUACCCUGGUA
rnacentral:rRNA from 1 species